rnacentral:rRNA from 1 species
UUUUUACGGAGAGUUUGAUCCUGGCUCAGGACGAACGCUGGCGGCGUGCUUAACACAUGCAAGUCGAACGAUGAUGCCCAGCUUGCUGGGUGGAUUAGUGGCGAACGGGUGAGUAACACGUGAGUAACCUGCCCCUGACUCUGGGAUAAGCGUUGGAAACGACGUCUAAUACUGGAUAUGACUACCGGCCGCAUGGUCUGGUGGUGGAAAGAUUUUUU